rnacentral:rRNA from 1 species
UAUUGCCUACGGGGCGCAGCAGUGAGGAAUAUUGGUCAAUGGGCGGAAGCCUGAACCAGCCAAGUCGCGUGGGGGAAUAAGGCCCUACGGGUCGUAAACCUCUUUUGCCGGGGAGCAAGGGCGGGGACGUGUCCCGGCCCGGAGAGUACCCGGAGAAAAAGCAUCGGCUAACUCCGUGCCAGCAGCCGCGGUAAUACGUAGGUGGCAAGCGUUGUCCGGAUUUACUGGGUGUAAAGGGCGUGCAGCCGGGAAGACAAGUCAGAUGUGAAAUCCCGCGGCUCAACCGCGGAACUGCAUUUGAAACU